GUACAGUGUUUUUUUGUGUCUUAUGAUGAAGCUUCAUAGGGCAGAUUCUGAGUUGAGAAAUAAAAUUUCUCUCCACUGAUAUUUGCUAUGUACUAUCUGAAGACACUACUUAUUGC
ensembl:snoRNA SNORD90 small nucleolar RNA, C/D box 90